rnacentral:lncRNA from 1 species
UUACAGGCCUAGAAAAAAGAAAACUAACAGCUGUAAACCAACAGCUAGCCACCUAAAUGGUACUUUUAAGAACUAAAUAAAUCAAAUGAUAAAACAAUAAAGUAAAUAGCAAAACAUGAAAUGACAAAGAAACUAAAAGAACGCAGGCCUGAAAUCCCUUUCCCUCUUAUUGCUUGAUAACACCCUUCGGUACCAGCCAAUUGAGAGACCAAUCUUCUCCAAAAAUCAACCUUUGAAAUCUCAGUCUUCGUUGAAAUUACGAGUUCUUUGGACCAACCCACAGUCACACCGCCCAGACUCUACUUUGCCAUUUCAACACCGUUAGCUUAUUCUUCCUCUAUCGUGAUCUAUCAGUCCGACCACAGCAAUCAGAGCUUCCUCUAUCCAGUAUUGGGGGUUUUCGUGUUGUCUUCCCUUCAACGCCAUUCCAUGAGCCACUUUGUUGGGCUCCCGAGGUACAUACUCAAAACUCAGACUUCUGAACCUAUGGGGUCUCCCUUUUAUUUCUUUAAUCAGGCUACUAAUGUUCGACUUAUCAUCCUCAGCAGAGUUUAGUUUGCGUAUUAUGGCCAACGCAUCACCCUCCACAACAAUGUCUUGGAAACCCAUUUCCUCCACCAUAGUAACUGAUUGCAGACAUGCCCUUUCCUCUGCCGUAAUUGGGUCUGAAAUGUUCUCCCAUGGAAAGGUACACGCAGCUAUUACUAGAUCUUCUUUAUUUUGCCCUAAGAUUCCAGAGACUGAGUUCCCCGUGUGCUGAUUGAAUGAUGCAUCAAAAUUAAUUUUAAUAAUAUCAUCCUUUGGAGGUUUCCAAAAAACUUCCUCAACACCAUUUGCAUUUCUUGAAAUCUGCCCCAUAAAAUUAAUUUGUGCAUGAUAGGUACUGAUAAACGCUACUAACCCAUGAACUAUUUCUCUGAUUCCUUCAUGAUAAGUCUUGUUACGGUUAUACCAUGUAUCCCAGUAUACAAUCGAGCGAAUCGUAUAUAUUUAUGCAUCCUGGCUGUCAACUGUUCUUUCUAACUACUAUUUCCAAUUGGGUUCUCUAUUGCAUGUUAUGUCUGGCACACCCAAUCGUCGCAAAACCUACUGCGUGAAAGUACAAUCCCGAAACAGAUGGCUCACCGUUUCCUCCUCUGUUUGACACACCGGGCAAAGUGAAUUAGUUCCCAAUUUCCGAAGCCUUAGGUUGUAUAAAGUGGGUAUAAAUCUAUUCGCCACAUAAGGAUACAAAUUUUGCUUGGUAUCUUAAGGCUCCAUUUCUUUGUAUAGAAAGUGGUAGGACUGUAGGACUGUCAGCAUGUAAUCUAAAAAUCUCGAUUGUAUUGAUCCAUUUGUAACCACUUUUGACUGAGUAUUGCCCUGUAUUAUCUCCUUGCCAAAUUAGCUGAUCAUGAGGUCAACUGCUCACUAGAGGAAUGGAGAGAAUGCUCUUCAAUUGCUCUUCUCCAAAUAAGGAUCGGAUGGUGUCUUGCUUCCAGGUAGUGGUAUCCCUAUCAAUUAAAUCAGAGACAGUAGUAUAUCUAAUAUCUAUGUGUUGACAGUGCACUCUUCUACUUCUAGACCCCGGCACCCAGCUAUCGUUUCGUUCCAAAUGUUAACUGAUUCCUCGUUCCCAACUCGCCACCCCAUACCCUCAUCAAGGAUUUGUUUAGCACUCCAUAAACUUCUCCAGGUAAACGAAGGGUAAGAUCCUAACCCAGCACUCAUGAACUCCCCCCUCGAAAAAUAUUUUGCUUUCAUGACUCGAGCAAACAGACAGUGAGGCUGCGUAAUGAUUUUCCAACCCUGCUUCGCUAACAUGGCUAAAUUAAAUUUUUCUAGAUCCUUAAAACCUAGACCUUCCUUCGCUUUAGGGAUAUAAAAUCACUCCACUUGAACCAAUGGAUACCUUUAUUGGUUUUGGGAUUUCGCCACCAGAAUUUACUCAUAAGACUCUUUAAUUUUCGACAGAACGAAGUCGGAAGUUUAAAACAUUGCAUUGCAUAAAUCGAAAUUGCUUGUAAAAUAGAUUUCAAAAAUACCUCUUUUCCUUCCACAGACAAGAACUGCAAGCUCCAAUUGCUCAGUACUCUUAUAAAGCGCUCUUUGAUAUGCACGAACGCAUGUUUUUUCUGUUUUCCAACCAUAGUCGCAGCCCCAGAUAUCUUUCCAGAUUAUUAGAUAUUCUCACGCCCAAGACUCUUUCCACCUGUGUCUGUGUCUUCGGAUUCACAUUACUGCUGAAAUAAAUUAGGGACUUAUCAAAAUUCACCAAUUGACCAGACAUAUUUUCAUAUUCGUUGAUCACAGCCUUCAUAUUUCUUGCUCCUUCAACCGAAGCAUCACCAAAUAGCAUGCUGUCAUCUGUAAAAAAUAAGUGUGAAACCGAAACAUUACCCCUUCCUAUCUUAUCCCUAGCAAGCCUUCCUUCCCUCUUAGCCAACAUGAUUAGUCGUGAAAAACCUUCCUCACAAAUAAGGAACAAAUACGGGCUUAGUGGAUCUCCCUGUCUCAGACCUCUUUGAGGCUAAAAUUCCUCCCUAAUUCUACCAUUCAGCACCACUGAAUACGCAACGCUAGAAACACACCUCGUAAUAAGCAUGAUCCAAUCUUCACAAAACCUUAGUCGACGUAUCAUGUUUUCUAAGAAUCCCUAUUCUAUUCUAUCAUAGGCUUUGCUCAUGUCGAGCUUUAACGCAAAACCUUUCUUCGAAGACCCUCUUCUCUUCUUAAAUGAGUGUAGAAUUUCAUAUGCCACGAAAAUAUUGUCUGUAAUUUGCCUCCCUACUAUGAAUGCUCCUUAAUUAUCUUCGAUACAAUAAUUCAGAACCUUGUAGAAUCGGUUGACAAGAAGUUUUGAAAUAAUUUUAUAAUUCACAUUGCAGAGACUUAUGGGUCUAAAUUAGUUCAUAACUUUUGGUGAAUUGACCUUAGGAAUAAGAGCAAUACCUGUUUUGUUAAUCUCUUCCAUAUUCCUCCGGCCAUGUAGAACAUCUAAGUAGUACUUGGUCACCUCCUCCCCAAUGAUAUGCUAAUAUUUCUAAUAAAAAAGAGUAGGAAAUCCAUCCUCACCUGACGCCUUAAGGGGAGCAAUAGACUGUAUCGCCAUUACAAUAUUUUCUUCUUUAAACUCUACCAUUAGCUCUCUAUUAAGUCCCUUCAAAAUUCAUGAUGAGAAUGACGCAAAUAAUCUCUAACAAUCACCAGAUUCUUUAGAAGAAAAUAGCUCUUUAAAGUAAUCCGCAGCUAUUUUAGACAUUCCAUCAAAAUCGGUAACCAAGUUCCCAUCCUCCCUUUUAAGUCUCUUCACCAUAUUUUUCUUCCUACGACCAGUUGCACUUCUGUGAAAAAAUGUCGUGUUUCUGUCUCCCAUCCAAAGCCAAUUAGUUCUCGCUCUUUGUUCCCAAAAUAACUUUUUCUUGUCGGCCUCGAGAUUCAAAUGAAGUUCUAUCUUAAUCAUUUCCUCCAAUACCUCUUCAAUAUCUCACUAUUGCCCAACUCAAACAGUCUGGCGUUUAGUUUUCUGUUCUUCGUACCCUUAAUCUUUUCUCAUUUUGUGCCCAACAAUUCACUUCCAUUCCCAGCUCCUUCAGUUUCACCAACACAUCUUGAUUAUUUGAGGUCUAUUCAUGCUGGACUUGCUCAUCAAAACCUGGAGUUAGGAUCCAAUUAGCGUUAAACUGGAAUCUCCAUUGUCGCCCCUACCUUUCCUCUCGCCUUCCCUACUGUAUCCAUAACUAGCGGGCAAUGAUUAGAAAAACUAUGUUGUAAAUGGCAUACAGAAAAAUUGGGAAACCAAUCUAACCAUUCUUCAUUUGCAACACCUUUAUUGAGCCUCUCCCUAAUAUUGUUGCUAGUAAGCUGACCCUUUUCUCAUGUAUACCACUGGCCAGAGAACCCCAAAGCAGACAAACUAUAAUCAUCUAGUGUUGCUCUACAUGCAGCCAUCUGUCUUUCCUCAUGAACUCUACCUCAUUGUUUUUCAAACGAAAAGAGAAUCUCAUUAAAAUCACCAGCAACUAACCAAGGUUUAUUGUUCCCAUUCUGCAGCAUCCUUAGCAGCUCCCACGACUUUCUCCUUUCGUGUUCUACUAGUGCUCUAUAAAAUCCCGUGAAUCUCCAUACUCCCAACACAUUCUCCUCUUGAACCUCUACGUCAAUAUGUGACUUUGAGAAACUCUUUAACGUUAUAUUGAGCAUUUCCAUCCAUCCUAGAGAUAAACCUCCCCUUGUUCUUACUGCAUCAACAUCAAUAUCAUUCAGAAAAUCGCAGUGCCGCCUUAUUUUCUCCAUUCUUUUACUGUUAACUUUCGUUUCCAUUAGAAACAAGAUUUGGAGCUGAAUGUGUCUUACUUUUUUUUGAGACGUCUAACUGUUCGUGGUUUCCCCACACCACGAACAUUCCAACUAAGGAUUUUCAUUGCACCCGGCCAGUCAAUUUAAAAUUAGCCACCGAUAAAUCAGUUUCCAACCCCAUCUCCAAUACUCUUUUAUUAUUCCCGGAAUUUCCUACUGCGGAGUUAACUCUCUGCCUCUUUUUUCCAUCAAUAAACUCCACUGGUAUCUCCUCCAUCUCAAUUCUAUUCUCCCUUCCCUCACCGUCUCUACAAUUCCAGAAGCCCUUGCAUCCAUCCUACUUCGACCCUACCUUGCAUAACGUCCCAGCGGCCCUAUCCCUUCUAUACGAUCACAAUUAUUUGUUAUAUCCUCGCCAAACUUUUUUUCUAUUGUUUCCCCAUCAAUCUCUAUGUCGACCCACCGAUCAAAUUAUUGUUCCUCUCAUAACCAUUUACUCUUCAACUGACCGCCCCUCUUUAGUGGAGCCUUUAGUGACAGGUCUCCCACCCAAAUUCCACAUGUUGAUUCCCCAGUGUUAGUCAGACUUGGCAAAAACUUUCACCAUGUCCCAGUCAACCACAGAGAAAACAAAAAAACGACAACCUUUAUACUGGGAAAAAGCAUAUAAAGAUUUAUUCUGACCAAUAUUAAUCUGUUUCUUCCUUUUAAGCAGAGAUCGAGUAUCGAUUAAUACUCGAAUUUGCAUGAAUCUGCUAAUUCCUCUGAUCACUGUUGAUACGUCAUAUUCUAGAAAUUUACCAAUAAAAUCCCUAAACUAUCUUGCCAUACCCUCUGUUACAACUCCAAUUGGGAGAUUAUGGAUUUGCACCCAAAAAACCAUUUCCCAAAGAGGAACUGUGAGUGGAUCUUCGCCCUCUAAUAAUCUAUGGAGAAUAAUAAGAUGGCAGUUAAAAACCCAAGGCAUACCUUCCAUAACUCGAAUUAAGUCAAUUUCACUAUAAAACUUGAAUAAAACCCUCUUACCCUCUAAUUUUGAAAUAUCCACUCCUCUCAACGGAUGUCAUAAAUCAGCCAACAUAUCUUUUAAAGAAGGAAAAUUAACCACACUAUCUGUAAGAACUCGCCCAACCAUACAUAAAUCGUAUAGUUGGCCUAUGGCAGUGUCGGCACCUGAUACCACCAUGGGAUCUUCCUCAUUGUCCAUAAUAUUAAGAUUCACCAACUCGUCAUCCAUCGUAGUAAAGUCACCCAUAACGAUCCUUCACCAGCCUUUUGAGACACAAAAUCUGUAACACCCCAAAAUAAGGCAUAGUCAGAAUAGUAGUUUCGGGACCACAAAUCUGACAUCAAAAUAUUUAUUUUAUGAUUAUUAUGAGGUUUAGAAUAUGAGAAUAUGCAUGUGUUCAAGUUUCAUGAAGAAAUUCUAUGAAUAAGGCGUCCAAUUGGAAAUUAGGGACUAAAUUGAAUAAAUUGCAAAACUUGGAUUCUAGAAGAAAAUUGUAUGAAAUUGCUUUAGAUUAUAAAUUAGAAGGUCUUGGAGAGAAAUUUUCCAAUUUCUAAGUUUUUGGACAAAAAUGAGCUUGCAUAGAUAAAACUGUAAAGAAAUGACUUAAGGGCAUUUUGGUCAUUUGGCAUUUAAAUGAAAUAAAAUGGGAAAAAUGAACCAAAAUCAUCCAUUCUUCUUCUCCAUGCUGCCGAAAUUUUUAGGGUUUCCAUAGCUAGGGUUUUCAAGCUUUCCAAGCUCAAUAGUAAGUGCUCCCAAGCCCAUUUUUAAUGCUCUUCGUAUUUUUGAAAUCCCGGUAGCUUGCUCUCUCUAUUUCUACCCAUAUUUCAUGCUAGGGUUCAUGCUUAAAAAUUUAUCCAUCUAUGAGUUAUUUGUAUUUUGAUGGAUUAUGGAGGAAUAUGAAAGUUAAAUGUGUGUUAAACAUAUUUUCCUAGGUGAUUUUCAUGAAAAACCCUUAAAGGGACUUUUUUGUAAAAGUUGUAAAAUGUGUGGUUGAAAUGUAAAAAUAAUGGAAAAUGUGGACUACCAUAAGAGAGAAAAGUGUUCGCCUAGGCUUGGGUAAGGUAGAAAUUAUAUGUAUUUCGUUAUACGAGCCUAGGGACUAAAUUGUAAAAUUUUGUAAGGUUAGGGGCAAAACAGUCAUUUGGACCGGGGUAGAAUUUAGACUUGAAAUGAAUAAUGUAGAGUAUUAAUGAGCUAUUUUUAUUGUUAUAGACCUCGAGGGAUAAAUUUUGGAGGUUGACCGGGGAAAAUGAAAGGUUUCGAAAUAAUCGAAACCCGACACCAAAACGAAUACAAGGUCAGUUCGGAUAGCUUAAAGUAAACUUGUAAUGUGUCUGAUUAUAUGCAUUUAUGAAUGCAUGCUUGAUAAUGAUUUGUUGAAAAAUGUCUCGGUUGAGGAUGAAAGGGAAUUCGUUGGAUAAACCAUGAUUGACAUGUGUAAUGAGAUCCUGCAUGUGUUACAGAAGGGAUUUAGCUUGGAUGGGUAAUCUGUUGAUCUCAAUUAUGAAAAGGAUCUAGCUCGGUUGGGUGUUCCUUUGGAUGAUUGAGCCUCCCGAAGAAUAAAUGUACAUUAUGGAUUUAGCUCAGACGGGUAAUCCAAUUAGGGUCUGAAUUUAGCCUGGAUUGGUAAUUCAGAUCCGAGCUCAAUCAAGGUAUUUGUUAUUAUAAGGGAUUUAGACUGGACUGGUAAUCCCAAAAAUACCUUAUGAGUUCAUAAAAUAGGGGAUUUAGCCUGGACUGGUAAUUCCACCAUAAGAUGUGAGGUUCGCGGUAGUGCAUAUCUGAAAUGAUCAUCCUUAUGAAUUGACAGUUAUUGGAUAUUCCAUCCAGAUUUCCUAGAAGCCCAUUGAGAUUAAUAUGAAAUAUAUGUACAAAAUGAAAUGUAGCAUGAUGAGCUCAUCUAUGACAACUUACGUAAUCUUUUGUUAAGUGACUAAUUCAUUAAUUGAGUGUAUGUGAUAGAGAACCAUAUCAUACUUGUUGGUUUCAUUAUCUAUUAUGGAUGUAUGCUAGUUACUUGGUAAGUUUACUUUUCGGUUAUUCUAGCUUACUAAGCAUGUAAAUGCUUACCCCCUCUCUUUUCCUUACUUUUCAGAGCUCAAGGACUCGUAAUGAUUGGAAGACAGUUGGAGAGUCAGCACAUUAUCAAAUAGACUAGCAUUGGUAUAAAGAUAUUUCUAUUUUGUUCAAUGGCAUAUAUAGGACUUUUGAGUAUUUGGUUAUAUGUGUUAUUUGAUUUGCCAAAUGAAGGCUUGUAAGAAAAAUGUAUUUAUCUUUUUGUAUAUAGCCAUAGGAAUUGGCUUAUUUUGGAGCAGGCUAUGACCUACAAAAAUCUAUGCAUGGUUAUAAUUAUAUGUGACGGGUUGUUUAUAACUGGCAAUGAGUCUCAAGAACGAGCCAAUUUCGAAUGUAUUAAAGUGGCAUGAAAACUCACAAAUACAAUAUCGGAAAUAACCUAGCAUGUGUGAAACCAAUGAUAUGAGGUUUCCAUGCAAUAAGUUUUGCCAAGAUCAUUUAUAAGAGUAUAAUCAGGUUUUGUUUUGUAAUUGGUACUCAUUAAGUAUAUGUGAAAAAGAGGGUGACUAAAGGCUUGGAAAAUAGCCUAUUUGGGUCUACACGAUUGGACACACAGGCAUGUGUCUU